CAGCCGCGGUCAUACGGAGGGUCCAAGCGUUAUCCGGAAUUACUGGGCGUAAAGCGCGUGCAGGUGGCUCAUUACGCCCGGCGUGAAAGCCCCCGGCCUAACCGGGGAGGGUCGUCGGGGACGGGUGAGCUUGAGGGUCGCAGGGGCUGGUGGAAUUCCCGGUGUAGUGGUGAAAUGCGUAGAGAUCGGGAGGAACACCCGUGGCGAAGGCGGCCAGCUGGGCGAGCCCUGACACUGAGACGCGAAGGCGUGGGGAGCGAAC
rnacentral:rRNA from 1 species